AGCGAACACUGGCGGUAGGCUUAACACAUGCAAGUCGAGCGAGGCGUAAUAGUCGAGCGGCGAACGGGUGCGUAAUACAUGGGAAUCUACCUCGAAGUGGGGGAUAACGUCCAGAAAUGGACGCUAAUACCGCAUAAUCCAUAUUGGGAAAGCGUUGCAGCGCUUUGAGAUGAGCCCAUGGCUGAUUAGCUAGUUGGUGAGGUAAUGGCUCACCAAGGCGACGAUCAGUAGCUGGUCUGAGAGGAUGACCAGCCACACUGGAACUGAGACACGGUCCAGACUCCUACGGGAGGCAGCAGUGGGGAAUCUUGCGCAAUGGGGGCAACCCUGACGCAGCCAUACCGCGUGAGUGAUGAAGGUCUUCGGAUUGUAAAGCUCUUUUGGCGGGGACGACGAUGACGGUACCCGCAAAAGAAGUCACGGCUAACUUCGUGCCAGCCGCCGCGGUAA
rnacentral:rRNA from 1 species